GCCAAGAUGGCGACGGAACCUUCAACCUUUUUCCGGUUCCGCUGUGGUCAUGGGCAACUCUCGCGAGAGAACGGAAAAGGCGUGGCCUCGGUGCCACGUCGGGGUUGGAGCCGCACGGUGAGUCCUCCGCGGGGCAGCGAGAGGGGCGGCCAGACGGGCGUGAGGCGGCGGGGGGCGCUCUGUCCCUUCUCUCCUGUCUCUAUGCUUCAUGGCGACGGCCCUCCUCCACCCGGGGGAACACGUGGCCACCGGCAUGGCUACCGUCAUGGCCGCCGCGUUGGCCCUCUGCCUCCUGCCCUCCGCCUCUCACGGGGACCAGCACCACCACGACCCUUCCCACGAGGACCUCCAGCACCACCAUCACCACCACCACGAGGAUGGCGGCCACGGCCAAACGCUGACGGCCAUGUUUAGUGGCCGUAGCCACCACCACUACCAUGGGGACCCCCAUGGGGACCCCCAUCAUGGCCACCACCACCACCAUGGGGACCCCCAUCAUGGCCACCACCACCACCAUGGGGACCCCCAUCAUGGCCACCACCAUCACCACGGGGACACUGGCCAAGGCCACCACCAUGGGGACCCUCACCACGGCCACAGCCACUCCCAUGGGGACAUUGGCCACGGGGACCCCUACCACGGCCACGGCCACCACCAUGAGGACCCCCACCAUGGCCACCACCAUGGGGACAUUGGCCACGGGGACCCCCUUGAGGACCCCCACCACGGCCACCAUCACGGGGACCCCCACCACGGCCACUCCCAUGGGGACAUUGGCCACGGGGACCCCCACCACAGCCAUGGGGACCCCCACCACAG
rnacentral:lncRNA from 1 species